AUGCUACUGGUGCCAGUAUGGAUAAGCCUCAAGGUCAUCUUCUCUGAAACUUGGGUGGAGAAGGAACAAGGAAGACUAGCACCAUGUAAGAUAACACUCAAAGUAAAGUUGGAGGAAGAAGAGGAAAUCUGGCUCAUGAUGACAUCAGCCUUUGAUUUAUGCUGGGGAGCGAAUUCACCAGGGUGCAUGUGAGUAUCUCAUCACAGACCUCAAUGAAUAAUGUAUUACACUUAGCAGUGGCAGGGCUGGCUUAGCUGAAUGCAAGUCAUUUCAUUUCAGGCUAUAAGGAACCGCAUUUUCCUUCACUUGUCAUUUGGAGGCCAGUAUUCCUUAGAAAGACAACGGCAUACAAGCAGAAGCUAUUUUUCUUCCUGUCUGCUUUAGAAAGAAUACUUUCUCUUUGGCUUAGGCACACAUUCAUUCUCUCUAAUGCUUUUUUAAGAAAGCAGAGCCUUAAAGAUCAAAGAUAUUCAACCAACACCUGUGCUAACAACAUUUUCAAUUGCUAUGGAGCAUUCUUUGUGAAACUGUGCUUUAAACACAGGUGCUUUCUCAGACUGAUAUCUGGAAUGGAAAUAAAUCCAUAAAGGAUGCAGACUGAGCAUCUUCUGCAUAUCUUUCUAUUAUGCUUAUAGAAAAGUGGAGUUUAU
rnacentral:lncRNA from 1 species